rnacentral:misc_RNA from 1 species
GAGUUGCAAAACUCCCAACCAUUGUGAACCUACCUCACCGUUGCUUCGGCGGGUAGCCCGUCCACCACGGGCUGCGCCGGCCCCCCUCCAGGGGGUCCGGCACCCCGCCAGAGGCCCGAAACUCUUUGUCAUCAGUGGCCUCUCUGAGUAACUUAUACAAUAAGUCAAAACUUUCAACAACGGAUCUCUUGGUUCU